UCUAUUCAUCUGUCUAUCUGUCCAUAAGCCUGUCUGUAUUUCUUAGUGUCUAUCUUUCAGUCUGUCCUUCUACCUGUCUGUCUCUCUAUCUCUCUGCCCAUGUGUGUCUUAGUCUAUCUUUCCAAUCACCUAUCUGUCUGUCUACCUGUUUGUUUAGCCAUCUAUCUGUAUGCAUGUCUGUCUCCACUUCCCUGUGUUAAAUUCUGUUUGUAAAUCUGUCUGACUUUUCAUCUACCUGCCUGUCUGUCCAUCUGCCUAUCCAUCCCUCUACCUGUCUAGCUAUAUUGAGGUCUGUAUGUCACAAUGGCUUUGUGGUGUACAUCCAUCCAUAUGGACGCAUAUAGAUGGAUGACAAAUUAAAAGAAAAACCAGAAACUUCUUUCAUCUACAUUAACGGUUUUCUGUCUUAUGAUAAAUUUCCUUCAUUCUUAAAAACGUAAGUGGAGGACGAGUGGGCGUACUUUAAUCUCCAGAGCCUUGAGAGAGGAGCCGUGUACGGUGGCCCAGUUGGGAAAACACUUUAAUUACUGUGUAUUUAUUCGAAGCAGGCAGCGUUAUUAACUAAACCCACCCCCGAGCCGUCCGGCCGGCUGUAAGCGCUGUUUUCAAUUAAACGAUCGUGAAUGGAAGGGAAGAUGAAAAGGGAAUUUCGACUCUCCCAGUGCCUGUAAGGCAGCGAGAUCAUGUGACUAAGUGCAGAACUAAUAUCAGAGUAAACAUGUUAAAUAAACAAUAAGUACAGCGUGUAUGCAGCAAAGUCCAGGAACCCGGAUAAACCAACACUUUUACAUAAUUUGCGUAAUUAUGACCAGUCCCUUUCUUUUUCUGUUUUUAUCCCAGAGGUGACUGUAAUUAUGUAAAAUGAGAUAAUCUCAAAAUAUCACAAGGUCACAUCAUUCUUAAAUAACACACGUCAAAAUAGCUUAAAUUAGGUCACAUCAUUCUUAAAUAAUACAGGUCAAAAUAACUUUGUUACCCAGUCAUGAAAAGAUGACAAAUAACAUGAUGUACUGUAUAACAAGCCCAUUUUACACCAAAAGCAUUGCAUGGUUUUUAGUAAAUAUGAAGUGCUAAUAACUGCAAAUAUUAUAAACACUGCAUGAAUCCAGAAAUAUUUGUUUUAGGUACCAACAAAUCAGGGAUUACGUUCAGAAACAUGUACCCAGUUAUGUGAAUGCCGGCCUUCCCAAGGCUGAGGUCAGAUACCAGUACAGGACAUUUUGGUGUAUAACGGGCUUUACACUUGGAAAUAUUACUUAAAAGCAAUAUGUGAACCUAACUAAACUAAGCUUAAACUGGAGCUGGAUAAAUGAAGGCUGAUGAAAUGUUAAUAAUAACAACCUGACAGUUUAACUAUUAUUAAAUAUUACAUUAAUCAAGUUUAUAUGCACAGAAAAUACAUACACUUUUGUAUAUACUGUAAAACAUGAAGCAAAUGUGUUACAAACAUGAUAUUUAGAUUAAUAUAUCAUGUUUCAUAUAAAUAAUUUCCAGCUCAAGACAUAAAACUGCUGAUUAGUCUCAGUUUUAAAGAAUAUAUUGUUGUAUCAAUUAUCAACUGUGUAUAAAUUCAUAAUAUACUGCAAAACCCCACAUCUUAUCAAGUAAAAAUAUCUUGAAUAUAGACAAAUUUAUCUAAUACACUCUAAAAUUACUAAAAAUAAACCAAAUAUAUAUUUGACAUAUAUUAUUAAACAUAUUUCUAGACAUUUUUACUAAUUUCAAGUUUUAAGUUUUCUAAUUCGGAUAAUUAGACAGAUCAUUUUGCGUCUUUCUAGAAAUAAAUGCUUAAAAUUAAGACAAUUAUCUACCAAUAGAACAAGGUUAUUUCAAGCUUGAAACUAGAAAAAAUGUCUAAAAAAUUAGGUUAUUCUAAGCUUACAACAGGAAAUAGUAGAUCAUUUUGACUAUAUUCAAGAGAUUAUCACUUGACAAGAUGUCUUUUUUUGCAGUGUGUAGAUCUUCAUAAAUAAAAAAGAACCCUAGCAUUUAUUUAUUUUUUUAUAGCUUUUUAACAGCCAUACAAUAACUCUUAUGUUGGCGUUGCUCUUCCUCGAGGCUGAUUAACAGUCGUGCCACGGCUGAUCCGUCCCCUGAACCGUCACGGCGUGUUAAUUGCAACUUGCACAUUGCUUGCUUUAUUAAAAAAACAGAGCUGUUUAUUUUUGCCCAGUCACGUGAGUGGCGGUAAUUAGCUCAGACAGGAGGGUGUGAAGAGGACACACUGACUCAGGUCUGUAAAUACUCUGUGUGUGCAUGUGUGUGUAUGUGUGUGUGUGUGUGUGUGUGUUGGAAUGUCUUCUUCCUCAGCUACAGCUGUAUUAUAAUUCUAAUUUCAGACCAGCUCUUGCCUACAGGACACACACACAUGUCUCUGCUGUUCUUAUUAUAGAGAGACGCUGCUAAUGUAAACACCGCUCAGACGUGACACACGUGUGUGUUCAGGACAAAAAUAGAAAGGUGUUUGGUGUAAAAGGACACCGGUUUGUAAUGCGAUAUAAAGAAUGCUGCCUGAUCUUGUGUGUGUGUGUGUGUGUGUGUGUGUGUGUGUGUGUGUGCGUGUGUAAUAGGAUCCAGUCUCUAAGGAUUAACUGUCUUCACAGACUUGUAAAGCUUGUUGUGUUGAGGGCUCUGGAUUGAUUGUUUGCCGGUUGAGUGAUGGAAAGGUGUGCAAACAACACACACAAGUAGACACACAUACAGUACACACACAUAUUUGUCUUACUAUCCUUAUAAUGUCCUUCCACUGACAAAAGUUAUUAAUGCAGCUGAUUAGCUCUAAGCUACACCUAAAAAAAAAAAAAAAAAAACCUGAUUGGCUGAGCCAUUUUCGGGCGUAUUGUAAAAUCACCGUUAUACGCAACCAAAGCUUACUCUUAACAGACUACCCUGCAUGGAGGAACAAUUGUGUACUGCUUAUAUUAUUAAUAAUCAAUGUAAUUAUUUAUUGAAGGCUAGAUUUUAUAUAUGUUUUGUCAUCAUUUUAUAAAAGCAACGAGCCAAUGAGGUCAUGUGUUACAAUGAUUUUAUCAUGGUUUCUCCAUCGUGCCUCAUUGCUGUGUACUUUGAGGCACAUUUUGAUCAGUGGUCAUUUUCACGUGAGAUUUAUUUGUUAGUUGAACUCGCUGCUUAUGUUUUAUGUCAGCUGUUUUUUUCAGGCUUCAGUGCCCCUGACCCUGAAUUCGACCCCCUCAGUGAACUGUACGCAGCUCCCAUAUCACAACACGGCUAUUUAACGUUAGACAAUGAGGAUACUGUUUCAGCCUGAGGCAGGAGUUUACUACUGAUCUAUACAGGAUUAGCACACACACACACACACCGUGGCACAAGAGACCGUGCUAGUUAAUGCUUGGUUAACGGAGCACACAUGAUAGCUGUUCCUGGCUUGAGGAGAACCCUUUAAGGGAAGAUAUACGAAACGAGCCUUUUGACCGGGUCUCCCUGUGAGGCUGAGGUUUCCAAAACACUUCACGCUGGUCACUGAUUGAGUUACUGAAUCUAUUUUGAGUAAGAUAUCCGCUGUUUAAAUUUAAUAUAUGAAUGGUGCAAAAAACAAAUACAAAAGCAUCCAUGAGAUGAGAGGGGUCAGAGGAGAAUGGAGAAUGGAGUUGUUCAUGCUGAUGGGAAGGCUACAGUAACUCAACCAUUCUCUACAAUCGUGCUGAGCAGAAAGGCAUCUCAGAUGUUGAAGUUGUAGGUGGAUGUGCUACAACAGCAGAAGACCACAUCAGGUUCCACUCCUGUCAGCCAAGAACAGGAAUCUGAAGCUACAGUGGGAACAGGUUCCCCCAAACUGGACAGGAGAAGACUGGAAAAACAUCACUUGGUCUUUAUUCAGUGUUCAAGUUGUCAAAAUUUGACCAUGUGAAGGAUUUUCGAAGGCUGCCACACAUAUGUUUAAUUGUUUUCUUAAUUUCAUUUACUGUUGUCCAACUAUGAUUUUUUUUCUUUCUUGGGAACGGCCUUGUGAUCAGAUAGUCACACUUCAACAAGUGGUUAUGAGUGGGAAGGAGAGAUGUGUGUGUGUGUGUGUAUGUGUGUGUAUGUGUGUGGGGUGAAGAAAGGAGGGGUACUGUAAUCCCAUUGACAUUAGAGAUGCAGCUCUCCACAUGCCCAGUAGCAGCUGGCUGAUUUGAAACGGGCUGAUCCAUCGUUCACACGGAGAAGGGGGAGGCAGGGCAAGGUUCAUUUAGGGCCGCUAAAUCCCCAACCAAGUGCAAUCCUACCCAUGCUGAAGGACAUUAAAGAUUAAUCGAUUCUUUUAAUUCAUGUUUUUAAUUAAAUAUGAAUAGAGAGUGCAGGAUCUUUCAUCGCGUUGCAGUGUGGAGGUGGUGCGGUCCGACUGUGGCUCCCAAAGUGCCUUGAGCACACAUUCAUUAUCUAAUCUCCCCCUUUAUGGUUAAUUUACAAGCUUUGCUGCUUCGGCCAUAUGCUGCCUUUGUCUUCCGCCUCGUGCUUUGUGUCCUGUUUUACAGUCCAGGCGCUCACACACUCACACACACACACACACACAAACACACACACCAACAUGCAUGAAGAGAGACAUACUUGUGCAGACAAAAAUACGAGACCACAGACAUGCACACAAGUAUGCAUACAGACACAGAUGAGACAAACUAAAAGGACAGAAAAUCCAUCCUUUCAUCAUCAGUGCAGCUGCUGCUCACAGUCAGUAUCAUAGCCAAACCUUGGGCAUGUGUGUGUGGUAUGUGUGUGGCAUGCGCAUGUUGUGUGUGUAUGUUUGUUCAGCCCGCUGCUCCCGUUGCCAUCUAUAACACUCCCAAUGUUCCCAAUCAGCUGUCCCUGGCUCUAGUGUGUGUUAAGCUUGAGAGAUCGCGUGCAUCGUCCUAUCGUGCCUCCUAACUAUCGCCGAUUAUCGUGGCUUUGGAAGGGUGUAGGCUGCAGUGACGCUGAGGAAGGAAAGGAAGAGGGCGUGGCCAAACACAUGUAAACUGUAGGAAAAAACAGCAGAAGCUGGUUACGAGUCGGCUGUAACCGAAGCAUUUAGUUUUUUUUUUCAUUAAUUACUCAUUAACAAGGUCAGGAACAUUUGCUGUCAAGACUGUAAAUAAACCGAAUGAGUUAUUAGCUCAUUAUAAAACUGAAAUUAUAUGAAAUAUGCCUACAUAUGCUGUGGUGAAUAGCAGCAAAGAUAUUUAUUGAAUAGUGCAGUAUUAAUGUGUGUGUGUGUGUGUGUGUGUGUGAGAGUGAUUUCCUAAUGUGUGGAUAUGGAAGGUGGAUGAUGUUCCUUCAUGUUUGUACUGGAGAAGGUAAACACUGAAACAUUGCGCUGUCUGCAUUAAACUCUAUUUACCUUGACACUC